rnacentral:rRNA from 1 species
UUUAUUUACGGCCGCGGUACCCUAACCGUGCAAAGGUAGCGUAAUCACUUGUUCUUUAAAUGAGGACUAGUAUGAACGGCAUCACGAGGGUUAUACUGUCUCCUUUUUCUGAUCAGUGAAACUAACCUCCUCGUGAAGAAGCGAGGAUGAAAAUAUAAGACGAGAAGACCCUAUGGAGCUUUAAAGUAAGUAACAAUUGCUUCAACCCCUUUACAUAUUUCAGAAUUACUUACACCUAUGAUAGCUCAAUGAUUACUAAUUUUAGGUUGGGGUGACCGCGGAACACAAAAUAACCUCCACUUUGUACAGGACCAACUCCUGAGCCAUGAGAUACACUUCUAAGCACCAAUUAAUUGACAUUAAUUGACCCAAUAUUUUGAUCAACGAACCAAGUUACCCUAGGGAUAACAGCGCAAUUCGCCUUGAAAGCUCCUAUCGACAGGCGAGUUUACGACCUCGAUGUUGGAUCA